UUCUUUCGAGAUAGUGAACAGAAGCAUUUCGUUUCUUUUCUUGUGCAUACUUCACAAACAAAUAGUGAGUGAGAGUUGUGUAUUUUGAGGGGCCUGAACGAACAUUUGGUAUCAGAGCCUAGGGCUCCUGAAGACGGAGAAGGCCGGUUUGAGAGUCGGUUUCGAGAAAGGGGUGUAGCCCGUCGCUGCGGGGCAAAUGCAGCAGGAAGAAACCGAGUUUCGGGUAUUUGCGAGUGAUCAGGACAGCAGGGGGUGUCCGGUAAAAAGUCGUGAUGGUUUGAAACCGAAGUGAUUCGAUGCUACGGUGAAGGCGUAAAAGAACACCGAUUAAGGGGGUGAUUGUUGGAUUAUUCAGGUUUGUUUACGGGUCACGGAUCGGUGCGUUACCGAGUCACGGGUUCGUUUACGGGUCAAACGGGUCAAGAGUUGUUUGACAGAAUCUUAUUAGAAUAUAGGAAUUAUACCCAUGAUCUCAAAUAUGCGCGCCAUUAAGAAAUGGUCAAGGUUGAGCAAGUUAUUUGGAGGUGUGGGUUAAAUAGCACAUGUUAGGCAGAAUACUAGGUCAAUAGUUUUUGCCGAUUUGUUAGUUGAAUUAGUAUAUUUUAUUACUUUUUUUAUUUCCCACGUGUUAGUGCAUGGAAGGCUAUUUAAAGCCAUCUCUAUUUGUUGAAUAAAAUAACCCUUCAUUCGA
rnacentral:lncRNA from 1 species